rnacentral:rRNA from 1 species
AGAGUUUGAUCCUGGCUCAGGAUGAACGCUGGCGGUAUGCUUAACACGUGCAAGUCGGACGGGAAGUGGUGUUUCCAGUGGCAGACGGGUGAGUAACGCGUAAGAACCUGCCCUUGGGAGGGGAACAAUAGCUGGAAAUGACUGCUAAUACCCCAUAGGCUGAGGAGAAAAAGGGGGAAUCUGCCCCAGGAGGGGCUCGCGUCUGAUUAGUUAGUUGGUGAGGCAAUGGCUUACCAAGGCGACGAUCAGUAGCUGGUCUGAGAGGAUGAUCAACCACGCUGGGGCUGAGACAUGGCCCAGACUCCUACGGGAGGAAGCAGUGGGGAAUUUUCUGCAAUGGGCGACAGCCUGAUGGAGCAAUGCCGCGUGAAGGCAAAAGGCCCACGAGUCAUGAACUUCUUUUCUCGGAGAAGAAAAAUGACGGUCUCUGAGGAAUAAGCAUCAGCUAAAUCUGUGCCAGCAGCCGCGGUAAU